ensembl:snRNA U6 U6 spliceosomal RNA
GCGCUUGCCUCAGCAGCACAAAUACUGUAAUUGGAUCAGUGCAGAGAAGAAGACAUGACCCCUGAUCAAGGAUGACAUGCAAAUGCGUGAAGCAUUUCUAUUCUCU